rnacentral:lncRNA from 1 species
ACCGAUGAAGAAAUCUCUAAUGGCGGCUGGAGAAGCGACAGUACGUUCAAUUUGAGUCAUCUGGCCGAUCUUCUCCGGCAGAGUCAUGCGAGAUAGAAGGUCUUGCACACGCGCCUCCACUGGCGCGUCUGGGGUCUGGUAAACGCAUGGUUCUUCCUUUCCAACCAUAUCCUCUCAUACUCUUGUGUUAUCAGAACUGAUGCUACUUCUUCCUCUUUAUCUUACCUAAAGCCCAGCUGAGACGUGGCACCAACGAUUCCGACAUCCCACCAAAUGCUUAUUUAAUUGGUUUAAAUGAAAUUUUUGUACCCAUUUGACUGACACAUUUUCUGUUGUCAAUUACACUUUUAGUCACAUUCUCCCUGUGACACACUUUCUGGUGUGAAUUACCUAUUUUAUCUUAUAACCAUAGAUUAUUGAGUGAAUUACGUAAUUGGACGCUUUUAUCUUUUUUUAACUCAAAAGAACAUUUGUUAUUUGAAACACACAAUUCUUAUUAUCGAUGCUCUUGUGGACAAUUAUGUCAUUGACCAUUAAUGAAGUUAGUUGGGCUUUUGUUGGGGAAAAAAAACCUGGUUACUUGAAUUGGUUUUAUUUAGAUGGAAAAUUAAUUGUCGUUAGGUUUAUAGAACAAUACGUUUAGAUUUUAGCCACAAGAUUUGGAAAACUUUUUUAUAUCUAAUGAUUGUUAUGGCUUAUGUAAUUUAUUGGUUUGGAAAAGUAAGAGAAGAUCCAAAAAUGUGUUUAGUAUUCUUUUUAAAUUAAGCCGGGAUUUUUUGGUUAAAUGUGAUAACCGAUUUUUUUUCCAGAUUUCCUAACUAAUUGGUUAAAUUUUUUUUUCUGAAAAAGUGUCUUGCGUAGAUGUGGACACAGAGCUAAACAGAUUGCAAAAGAAAAGUUAAUAAUUAUACACUAGCAUGUCUAUGAAUGUUUUGCAUCUAGCAAAAUUCGGUUGAAACUACAAAAGAGAGCUUUAGUACAUACAUUACCAAAGAGAGCAUGAUGUAAAAGAGACUGUUAAUCAUCAGGAGGAUAGCUGAGGUGCAUGGUGAGAAGGACGGAUUAUGGUUUUGUGGAUGUCCAGAAAUGUGAGGGGCAGGAUCACUAUGUGUGUAUUGCUUGGGUAUUGUGGACAGAGGGGGUGUGUGGAUGUGGUUGUCAUGAACUUACGAGGAGUGGAUGGUGGUUUUGUGGACAAGGGACACAUGUGGAUGUUGUUACCAGCAAAAAGCAAGGGGGUUGGGGAAGUGGAUGUGGAGGCUGCUGUUAUGGGCGAUGUGGACAGGAGAGCUGGGGUUGAGGUCGGGAGACAGGUAGUAUUGAGCAGCGUAAUCCAGGGUAAUCUUCUUCCUCCAUGGAGGCUGGGAUCUGAGACACAUUUUUUAUUUUAAGCUGGUUAGUUCUGAUUUUAAGUCCCUGAAAAUUAAAUUUCAUACACAAACUAUAGCUUAAAUCCUUUAAAAUAUGGAUCCAAUAAACACAAUCAAGAUCAACUCAUUGUUCUUAUUACUUGUAAAUCUAAAGGAACACACUUUGGUAUAGCAAAAGUGGGAAACAAUGCAAAAGUACCCAGAUUAUCUAAACCCACUAAAAACCAAUAAAGAACCAAGAUUUAGAUUUAGAUGUUGAAAACUUAGAUUCACUUCUUACCAGAUUCAACACGAGUCUCAAAGGUUCUCUCUGCGCAUGUCAAGGAAAGAAGUAUACUUGAUCUGGAAUAAAUUAGAACAAAACAGAGUUAAAAUAUGAGGAAAACAAAAGAAAAGUGACAAGGAAGAGACCCGUGGUGGUGGUAGUAAAUGCGACGGAACCGGUGACGAGCUGGAGAAUGGUGACCCCGAUGGUCAGACUCAAAUGAGGAAUCCCAAAUCGAUUAAUUUAAGAGAAGCUCCGCCGUGGGUUCAAGUUUGACGAACGUCCUUCUCUUAUAGCCUGAACCUGUUGGACAAUAGCAUCAACCAAUAAAUAAAAUACAAAACAUUCAGAAAUAUUAAGUAUGAGCAAGCCUCAGUACAAAAAAGGCAUUCCUUUACUUUUCCUGUUGCAGCAGAUUCCAUGACUGCCUUGAUGAUUCUGUGACUUCCAGUAAACUGCUUACGUAUUCAGAUUAAUUCCACCAAAACUGUAGACAACACAAUAAUAUGAAAAAUCAAAAUCGCAGGCUUUAACAAUCCAGAAAUAACAGACAAUCAACUUAAAGAUUUUAGAAUAUAAGGUUUAGCGUAGAGAUCAAGACGCUGAGGUGGUUUGUAGACUGGAAUAGGGAAAAAAAACAUAUAUACCUGAAACCACAGCGCCUAUGAGCUCUUGUUGCUUCUCAAGCUGAAACCACAAAGGCAAGUAUGACCACGAUCACUUCGCCGGAGAGAAAAUCGAGACAAACGCCUGAUGGAUCUGAUGCUUGACAGAGAGAGACCUUUGGGAUUUGGUUUGCGUAUCUGUUCAUCCCUAGCGACGAACACAUUUAUAGUGUAGGGCUUCAGUCAGUUACUUUGGAAGAUACAAUGGCCGAUUUAAUUGGAGAGUGAGAAGAGAGGUGCAGUAGGUGUUAAUUCUUGGAUUAAUGUCAGUCGAUAACUACACCCGUUAGAGAGACCAACACCGGAGGUACAGAGAUGUGAAGAGACACGGAAAGCGACACAAUCGAUAAUCAGAUGAACCCCAAAAACAUGUGGGUCUCAUAAGGAAAACAAUAAAAGCCCAUCAAAUUAUUAAGACGUAAGUCCACAUGAAAAAUCAACACGUAAAGUUGUUUCUAAGCUGACACCUGUCAGCUAUCGCCCCUCCCUCCAUGCUGAUCUGGCGCAAGAAAAAGAGAUAAAAAUCUCUAUUAUUAUUAUAGAUAGAUAGAUAUCUGUUAUAGACAUCAAUUACGUAUGAACGGUGUAUGUAUAUCAGUUUUUCUAUUUUCCGGUGUCUUGCCAAUUUGAUGCCAAAGAUAAGUUAACGCACAUCCAGGUUGCACUGGGACGGAAAACAAGUAAACACUCUAAUUCGAAGAAAAUCUAACAGCAUCUUCAAAACACAUUCUCUAACUUUAAAUAUAUAGGUUCUUUGCUAUUUAAAAAAGAAUUUCAAAGUUGUAGUACUAAAACUGCUUACUACUCAGUUUCAUAUUUUAUUUUACAUUUUGAUAUUUACAAUUACAUAUCGAAUUGAUGAUUCUUAAAUAUGUUGUCUUCAUCAUUUUAAACCUUAAAAUGUUUAUAUCUCAUAAAUAUUUCAAUUUUUUUUUAUCAAUUUUAUUUUUACACAUAAAAUUAGAUAAAAACUUUAAAGUAUUUUAAAUUAGAUUUAGAAAACAACAAUAUUACAAAAAAACUUGUCAAAUACACUAGUUGAUCAUAUAUAAAAGUGUUACGAUAAUAUUUUUAUGAAAUAAUAUGGUAUUUUAAUUAUAAUUUAAUAUUUAUUUAUGUAUUUUAUGCAAAAUUUUAUAUUUAGCGUUACAUUUUAUUAAUUAAUAUUGUUACUAAUAGCAAACCAACAAUACAAUAGUACUUAUUGCUAGCUUAUUUUACAAACACGACAUUGUUUGUACUACAUGGCAUUAGAUACUUCCCCAAAGUACACAAUAAGACUGGUGAAGUUACACUGGUUUUGAACUGAGACCGAAACCAAGAGGGAACAAUGGGUCAUACGAAUUGGUACGAGCGUUUAGCGGCAAAUGCUCAACUGUUUUGAACCAGCUCACUGGUAACUUCCCCUCGAAGUCAUAAUCUCCAAAAAUGACGUCAGCCAUUCCUUGUCCUUCUGUUCCAGGCAGCCAAGCAGCUACUAGAGCCUCCGUCUUUUCAAGAAUUGUCGGCUCCAAGGCCACAGGUCGUCCUGAGAUCAACAUCACCAGAGUCGGGAUUCUCUCUGCCACCGUGGUUACAAUAUCGCUACCGUUAAAUGGUAUAAUGAGUUCCGAGCUGUCUCCUUUAGUCUCUGCAUAGGGUGAUUCCCCCACUGCAACAAUGGCGUAAGAGAAUCCUUCAUUCAAGGCUAAGGUUUCCUUUGAUGGAGUUUUCUCGUAGACCACUUCGGUAUUGUCUCCAACUGCUGCUUUUAUGGCAUCCAAAAGCGUCGUGCCUACAUUUCAGACAAAGAUAGUUAACUUUCCGACAGCAUCUCUACCAGUUAGUCUCUUUCAAAACCAUAUAGCUGUAGAUUUAACUACCGAUAGUGAUCCUGCCACUUAGACCGAACCAUGUCUUUGUCCACCCACCACACUGAUACCCAAGAUCAUCUGCAUGCGUUCCAGUCACUAGAAUUCUCUUGGCGUUGCGAUCUAGUGGCAGAAACGGUUUAUCAGCAUGUUUCCCGUUCUUUAGCAACACUAACGACUUUCUAACUGCUUCACGCCCCAAUUCUCUAUGUUCCUGCAUGCAUAGAAACAGAGUCAAUAAGGCUCUCAUACUUCUCUACUCGGGUACGUUACGAGACACAUCACCUUGCAGCCAACAGUUCCCAACAAAGAUCUGUCCGAAAAAGGAUGUUCGAAGAGACCAGCCACAAACUUCACUCUGAGUAUUCUUUCAACAGCGUCAUUGACCCGAGCCAUUGGUAUUUCCCCCGACUCCACCAGGUCCGUCAUGUCUUGUAUGAACUGUUCAUACUUAAAUGGUACCAUCACCUGCAAUAACAUUGAUUCCAUAAUGGUGAAAAUCAUAUGCUAAGAUGAAAUAUUUUUGCAUAUUCGUUUCAAAACUCUUACCAUGUCAAUUCCAGCAUUAACCGCAGUUUUAACGCAGUUGCGGUAGUUCGAUCCCCAAGGGUCACUAAGCCGGUCCAAACCUUCCCAGUCUGAAACUAUAAAUCCCUGGAAAGAUAGGAAGCUAACCCUUAGCACCAAACUUUAAGCUUUUUUUCUUUUUUUUUUAUUUAUAAAUUUUGCAUUAGUCACAAUCAAGAAAAGAGUUACACCAACCUUGAAACCGAGUUUUUCCUUGAGAACUUCUGUUAAGAGGAAGUAAUUGGAGUGAAGGUUACUUCCGUUCCAGCUGGAGUAAGAUGCCAUAACCGUGGAGACACCCUGAGCAAGACACUUAAGAUAUGGAGGAAUAUGUAUCUUCUCCAAGUCUUCAUAUGAUGCAAUGGUGUUCCCUUCGUUUACCCCCUUGUCCGUACCACCAUCUCCAACAAAGUGUUUGGCGCAUGCGACGACCUUGUUGCUAUCACCCAGUAAAAGAUCCCAUGAGAGGAUGUUAACAAGACUAUUUAAAAGACUCUAAAUCAAGCCAUAGUGUAUUUUGAUGAUACCUUCCUGCAACAAAAGGGUAACCAUUUGGGUGUUCAACGGGUGGUUCGCCUUGUAGUCCAGAGACCAGCGAAGUCAUCUCAGAGACAAGUCCAGGGUCUUCUCCAUAACACUCAUAGCUUCGUCCCCAUCUCGGAUCUCCCAAUACCUGUAAGAAAAACAAGAACAAAUUUCCAUUCAAUCUAUAUUUUAAAUCAUUAUAUUCAAUAAAUACUAAAAGCUGACUCACGGCCACGCAGGGAGCAAACGCCCAGUGAACUCCGCUCGCCCUAGCUUCAAGUGCUGUUGCAGCUCCAAUUCUUCUGACCAAAUCCGCGUCACUACAGAGUUACCACAAGACAAGUUUCAGCAGAAAGACAGAAACAGAACAGAUCAAAUCAAAAAGUAAGUCCUACGCAUCCAGCUCCAGCGCAUGCAAAUCACUUUCUGGACUUCUACUCUUUGACAGAAACAGUUAGUUUGCUCAAAGUGAAAAAAAAAGAAACCUGGUGGCUCCGAGGGCGAUGUUGUGGGGGAAGACGGUGGCGCCGUAGACAUUGUUGUUGCCGUGAACGGCGUCUGUGCCAUAUAUUAUAGGGAUUCCCAAACGCGACGCUAACGCUGAUCGCUGAAAGCCAUCUAUCAUAUCCGCCCAAUCCGACGACUUAGCAUCCUCAAACGGCGCACUCCCUCCGGCGUUCAGUACACUGCCUGUAUUUUUAAAACAAAAUAUAUAUUACUAAUUAUAGUAAGUCUGAGAAUGAAAAAGGAAGAAAAUCUGACAAAUGAUAUUUGCCAUAAUCGGCAAGAAAAAGGACAAGCAAGUAAAAUUUCAGACAGGAAGAGAUAAGAUGAUGUGUGGUUUGUGUGUGUACCGAUGAAGAAAUCUCUAAUGGCGGCUGGAGAAGCGACAGUACGUUCAAUUUGAGUCAUCUGGCCGAUCUUCUCCGGCAGAGUCAUGCGAGAUAGAAGGUCUUGCACACGCGCCUCCACUGGCGCGUCUGGGGUCUGGUAAACGCAUGGUUCUUCCUUUCCAACCAUAUCCUCUCAUACUCUUGUGUUAUCAGAACUGAUGCUACUUCUUCCUCUUUA